AGUAUUUUGGAGUUACCUUGUUUGAUGUCUGGAGAGAUUUUUGAGAAAAUUACCUAAUAGAAGAAUCUUAGCAGAAAAUAUGGACUUUGUAGGAGAAGAAAACAUCAAUAAUCAUUAACAAAAGCAUUUCAGUGUUUUGUGGGACAAAGGGAGAAUACUUCAGCUCUUUGACUUACAGAGCGCUGUUACAUGCAGCAUUGUCAAAAUCGAUGAGCACCGUACAUGUGGUAAGAAACAAAGAUGUAUACAGGGAAAAGUUAGGCAUUUUUCUGUUAUUGCUCAUCUAA